UGGGGAAUAUUGGGCAAUGGGCGCAAGCCUGACCCAGCAACGCCGCGUGAAGGAAGAAGGCUUCGGGUUGUAAACUUCUUUUAAGAGGGAAGAGUAGAAGACGGUACCUCUUGAAUAAGCCACGGCUAACUACGUGCC
rnacentral:rRNA from 1 species